rnacentral:rRNA from 1 species
GUCUUAUUGAAUAUAAUUUUAAGUCUAACCUGCCCACUGAAAUUUUGAAUGGCCGCAGUAAUUUGACUGUGCAAAGGUAGCAUAAUCAUUAGUUUUUUAAUUAAAAGCUUGUAUGAAGGGUUGGACGAGGUAAAAUCUGUCUCUAUUUAAUUUAAAAUAGAAUUUAAUUUUUAAGUUAAAAAGCUUAAAUAAAUAUAAAAGACGAGAAGACCCUAUAGAUCUUUAUAUAAUUUAUAUUAAUUUUAAUAAAGGAUUAUUAAUUUAUUAUUAUAAAUUAUAUUUUAUUGGGGUAAUAGAAAGAUUAAUAAAAUUCUUUUUUAAUUUAUACAUAAAUUAAUGAAUAAAUGAUCCAAUUAUAUUGAUUAAAAGAUUAAGUUACCUUAGGGAUAACAGCGUAAUUUUUUCAGAGAGUUCAUAUCGAUGAGAAAGUUUGCGA